rnacentral:tRNA from 1 species
GUAGUGGUGGUUCAGUGGUGGAAUUCUCAGCUUCCAUACAGGAGACCCAGGUUCAUUUCCUGGCCAGUGCA